rnacentral:rRNA from 1 species
AUGGCCAACCACCUCCGCUACAACAUCUACGACCUCGACCUCAGCCACGUGCAGAACACAACGCUGCAGUGGCUGCUCCUCACCAUGUCCGACAAGUCCAUCCUUGUCAUCGAGGACAUCGACUGCUGCUGCGAUGCCAUGUUAAGGGAGGUGGACAGCAAGGAGAGGAAGACGCCGGCGAGGACUUGCAAAGAAGACGGCGGCGGCUCAUCAGAAACUUCGGACGGUACGCCGUCGCCCAAGCUCAAAUCGGAGAUCACGCUCUCGGGGCUGCUCAACUUCAUCGACGGGCUGUGGUCGACCAGUGGCGAGGAGCGCCUCAUCGUCUUCACCACCAAUUACAAGGACCGGCUUGACCCGGCGCUGCUGCGGCCGGGGCGCAUGGACAUGCACGUCUACAUGGGCUACUGCUGCUGGGAGGCAUUCAAGACUCUGGCCCGGAACUACUUCCUCGUCGACGACCACCCCCUCUUCCCGGAGAUACAGGAACUGCUUAUGGCGGUGCAGGUGACGCCGGCCGAGGUGUCCGAGAUGCUGCUGAGGACCAAUGAGCCUGACGUCGCGCUCCGGGGUCUCACGGAGUUCCUCAUAGAGAAGAAGCAGGGACAGAGCAAGAUGGAGGAAGUGCAUGAAGAGAACUAA